rnacentral:rRNA from 1 species
UACGGAGGGGGCUAGCGUUGUUCGGAAUUACUGGGCGUAAAGCGCACGUAGGCGGCUUUGCAAGUUAGAGGUGAAAGCCCGGGGCUCAACCCCGGAAUUGCCUUUAAAACUGCAUCGCUAGAAUUGUGGAGAGGUGAGUGGAAUUCCGAGUGUAGAGGUGAAAUUCGUAGAUAUUCGGAAGAACACCAGUGGCGAAGGCGACUUACUGGACACAUAUUGACGCUGAGGUGCGAAAGCGUGGGGAGCAAACAGG